rnacentral:lncRNA from 1 species
CUAAGAGAGCUAUCAUUGACUUGUCGAGGGGGAUGGGCUUAAGCCCAUAAGGGAGUCACCUAGGGAGGUAACCCAACCUUUAUGAUUGGAGAUCCCAUGAAGAAGGUUCAAUGGGUUGAAACAAUCCAUAUUGCGUGACUCAUUUCUGAACUACUUUUAAGGAGAGAGUCUCCUGCUCAUCCCUAUGGCAAUAGUGCUUUGAUAUGUGACGUUAAGAAAGGGUGUUAC